GGCAACCCGCUCGGGUCCCUUUCCGCAGUGUGGGUGCUUUGUUCUUUUGCUCUUUGCAAUAAAUCUUGCUACUGCUCACUCUGGGUCCACGCUGCUUUUAUGAGCUGUAACACUCACCACGAAGAUCUGCAGUUUCACUCCUGAGCCCAGCCAGACCACGAGCCCACUGGGAGGAACAAACAACUCCAGAUGCGCGGCCUUAAGAGCUGUAACACUCACCGCGAAGGUCUGCAGCUUCACUCCUGAGCCAGCAAUACUACCAACCCACCAAAA
rnacentral:lncRNA from 1 species